rnacentral:rRNA from 1 species
AUGGGAAUUCUGUUUCAGCUUUCUCAGUUUGAUUCCAUUUUAGGAGACUAUGUUUCAUUUUAUCUUUGCAUUACCGACAUUCUGAUUCUUGUUCUGAUUUCACAGGUACUUAAAAAAUGGAGAAACACAUUGGAGAAAGCACAGGGGUACACAAAGCUAGAAAUAGAUUGCCAACAAAUUAAACGAUGCAUUCAAAUAGGUCUAAUCUGUGUUAAUCCUGAGUGGUCCAAAAGGCCUACAACAGCAAAAAUUAUCAAGAUGCUUAAAGGACUAGAAAGUUCAGAUUGUAGGAUUAGCAAUGAGGCAACGUCAUCAGCACAUCAGACUUCAAAUGGGGUUAGUGAACGAGGAAAACAACCUCCAAAAAAUACACUAUGUAUUGAGAUUUUGGAGCAAGCUGAAAGACAGGAUCUAGCAUUGGUCUCUCUUGCAAUUGCGGGUGACUGUCUAUGUGGAAAGUUGAAGUUGUUGUACCUAAAAAACGGAGAACACAUUUCUCCACAGGCAUCCAUCGUUCGCAUCGUUGUCCCAGGCUCGCCUGCUGGUACCAAACUUCAUGUGGACCCCUACAUGCUCUCCGUGCGGAGUCCCUACCUUCGUGCGAUCUUCACCCGCCACAAUAAUCAAUAUGGUGCAUCUGAGGGCAGUGCGGAGGGCAACAGGAUGGACCUCCAAGAAUUUCUAGGCAAGGAAGUGAAGGUCGAGUACGAUGCGCUGUUACUGGUACUCUUGUACCUGUACAGUGGCCGUGUCGGAGACCUUCCCGAGUCGGCGUACAUAUGUGCCGACGAGAACGGUUGUGCGCACCUCGGCUGCCACCCCACCGUCUCCUUCAAGGUGCAGGUUCUCUUUGUUGCCUUCACAUUCCAGGUCCCCGAGCUCACCAGCCUCUUCCAGCGGGAUCUCCUUGAUGUCCUUCAUAAGGUUGAAGUGGAUAACCUUCCACUGAUCUUGUCUGUUGCAAACUUAUGCAAAAAAUCUUGCGGGAAACUGCUCGAGAGAUGCCUUGAGAUGGUAGUCCAGUCAAAUCUUGACAUGAUUACUCUUGAGAAAGUAUUGCCUCCAGAUGUUGUUAAGCAAAUUACUGACUUACGGCUAAGUUUUGGAUUAGCUUCAUCCGAGGACAUGGGCUUUCCUAACAAACAUGUAAGAAGGAUACUCAGAGCCCUUGAUUCCGAUGAUGUGGAGCUAGUAAGGAUUCUGAUCAAGGAAGGGCAGACCAAUCUUGAUGAUGCAUUUGCGCUCCAUUAUGCUGUAGAACACUGUGACUCAAAAAUUACAACAGAACUUCUGGACAUUGCACUUGCAGAUGUUAGUCUCAGAAACCCAAGAGGUUACACUGUUCUUCACAUUGCCGCCAGACGGAAGGAUCCUAAAAUCAUUGUCUCCCUUUUAACCAAAGGCGCUCGGCCUUCCGAUUUUACAUUUGAUGGAAGAAAAGCAGUUCAUAUCUCAAAGAGACUCACAAAACAUGGGGAUUAUUUUGCGAAUACUGGAGAAGGAAAGCCGUAUCCUAAUGAUAAAUUAUGCAUUGAGAUACUGGAGCAAGCUGAAAGAAGGGAUUCACACUUUGGAAAAGCAUAUGUUUCUCUUGCAUUGGAUGGUGACGUUCUUCGUGGAAGGUUAUUGUACCUUGAAAACCGAGUUGCGUUGUCGAGGAUAUUGUUUCCAGUGGAGGCAAGAGUAGCAACGGACAUUGCUCAAGUUGAUGGUACUUCGGAAUUUGCCCUUGGUCAUCUAGUUGCCAUUGAUCUAAAUGGAACUCCUACCAAAAUGAAGGAUGAACACUUAGCUCGGAUGAGAGCUCUCUCCAAAACAGUCGAACUCGGCAAACGUUACUUCCCGCGCUGUUCAAAUGUGCUGGACAAGAUCAUGGAUGAUGAACCUGAGCUGGCUUCGCUCGGAAGAGAUGCAUCCUCCGAGAGGAAGAGGAGGUUUCACGACCUGCAAGAUACGCUUCUGAAGGCGUUCAGCGAGGACAAGGAGGAGUUUAACAGAACGACAACCCUUUCAUCUUCCUCAUCGUCGACGCCCACUGUAGCAAGGAACUUGACAGGUCGGCCCAGGAGAUGA